rfam:Felis catus isolate Cinnamon breed Abyssinian chromosome C2, whole genome shotgun sequence.
GCCUGGGUGGCUCAGUCGGUUGAGCGUCUGACUUCGGCUCAGGUCAUGAUCUCGCGGUCUGUGAGUUCGAGCCCCGCGUCGGGCU